rnacentral:tRNA from 1 species
CAGAAGAUAGUUUAUAUUUAAAAUAUUAAUUUUGGAGAUUGAUGAUAAGAGUGUUCUUUCUUCUGA